rnacentral:rRNA from 1 species
CCUACGGGAGGCAGCAGUGGGGAAUAUUGCACAAUGGGGGAAACCCUGAUGCAGCGACGCCGCGUGAAUGAAGAAGUAUUUCGGUAUGUAAACUUCUAUCAGCAGGGAAGAAAAUGACGGUACCUGACUAAGAAGCCCCGGCUAACUACGUGCCAGCAGCCGCGGUAAUACGUAGGGGGCAAGCGUUAUCCGGAUGUACUGGGUGUAACGGGAGCGUAGGCGGGUUAGCAAGUCAGAAGUGAAAGCCCGGGGCUCAACUCCGGGACUGCUUUUGAAACUGUUGAACUAGAUUGCAGGAGAGGGAAGUGGAAUUCCAAGUGUAGCGGUGAAAUGCGUAGAUAUGAGGAGGAACACCGGCGGCGAAGGCGGCCUGUUGGAAUGAAACUGACGUUGAGGCUCGAAAGCGUGGGGAGCAAACAGGAUUAGAUACCCGAGUAGUC